rnacentral:rRNA from 1 species
UACGGAGGGUGCAAGCGUUAUCCGGAUUUAUUGGGUUUAAAGGGUGCGUAGGUGGCCUUAUAAGUCAGCGGUGAAAGUCUGCAGCUUAACUGUAGAACUGCCAUUGAUACUGUAAGGCUUGAGUACUGAUGAGGUAGGCGGAAUUGAUAGUGUAGCGGUGAAAUGCAUAGAUAUUAUCAAGAACACCGAUUGCGAAGGCAGCUUACUAAGGAGUUACUGACACUGAGGCACGAAAGCGUGGGGAUCAAACAGGG